GGCUUCGUGGUGCAAUGGUCAGCACACUCGGCGCGUAUUCGAGAGGUCUGAGGUUCGAGUCCCGGUUAGGGCA
rnacentral:tRNA from 1 species